CGCAAGCCUGACGGAGCAAGACCGCGGGGGGGAUGACGGCCUAAUGGUUGUAAACCGCUUUUCUCUGGGAAGAUGAUGACGGUACCAGAGGAAUCAGCCUCGGCUAACUCCGUGCCAGCAGCCGCGGUAAUACGGAGGAGGCAAGCGUUAUCCGGAAUUAUUGGGCGUAAAGCGUCCGUAGGUGGUUAUUCAAGUCUGCUGUCAAAGCGUGGGGCUUAACUCCAUAGAGGCAGUGGAAACUGGAUGACUUGAGUGCGGUAGGGGUCGAGGGAAUUCCCAGUGUAGCGGUGAAAUGCGUAGAUAUUGGGAAGAACACCAGUGGCGAAAGCGCUCGACUGGGCCUGCACUGACACUGAGGGACGAAAGCUAGGGGAGCG
rnacentral:rRNA from 1 species